CCUACGGGGGGCAGCAGUGGGGAAUAUUGCACAAUGGGCGCAAGCCUGAUGCAGCCAUGCCGCGUGUGUGAAGAAGGCCUUCGGGUUGUAAAGCACUUUCAGCGGGGAGGAAGGCGUUAAGGUUAAUAACCUUGGCGAUUGACGUUACCCGCAGAAGAAGCACCGGCUAACUCCGUGCCAGCAGCCGCGGUAAUACGGAGGGUGCAAGCGUUAAUCGGAAUUACUGGGCGUGAAGCGCACGCAGGCGGUCUGUCAAGUCGCAUGUGAAAUCCCCUGGCUCAACCUGGGAACUGCAUUCGAAACUGGCAGGCUAGAGUCUUGUAGAGGGGGGUAGAAUUCCAGGUGUAGCGGUGAAAUGCGUAGAGAUCUGGAGGAAUACCGGUGGCGAAGGCGGCCCCCUGGACAAAGACUGACGCUCAGGUGCGAAAGCGUGGGGAGCAAACAGGAUUAGAUACCCGUGUAGUC
rnacentral:rRNA from 1 species